GAUGAACGCUAGCGGCAGGCUUAACACAUGCAAGUCGAGGGGUAUAGGUUUUCGGACCUAGAGACCGGCGCACGGGUGCGUAACGCGUAUGCAAUCUACCUUUCACAGAGGGAUAGCCCAGAGAAAUUUGGAUUAAUACCUCUUAGUAUUAUGAAGUGGCAUCAUUUUUUUAUUAAAGUUCCAACGGUGAAAGAUGAGCAUGCGUCCCAUUAGCUAGAUGGUAAGGUAACGGCUUACCAUGGCUACGAUGGGUAGGGGUCCUGAGAGGGAGAUCCCCCACACUGGUACUGAGACACGGACCAGACUCCUACGGGAGGCAGCAGUGAGGAAUAUUGGUCAAUGGACGCAAGUCUGAACCAGCCAUGCCGCGUGCAGGAUGACGGUCCUAUGGAUUGUAAACUGCUUUUGUACGAGAAGAAACACUCCUUCGUGAAGGAGCUUGACGGUAUCGUAAGAAUAAGGAUCGGCUAACUCCGUGCCAGCAGCCGCAGUAA
rnacentral:rRNA from 1 species